rnacentral:rRNA from 1 species
CCCUUAGAUGUUCUGGGCUGCACGCGCGCUACACUGAUGUGUUCAUCGGGUUCGACCUUGCCCGGGAGGGUUGGGUAAUCCUUUCAAAACACAUCGUGAUGGGGAUAGAUUAUUGCAAUUAUUAAUCUUCAACGAGGAAUUCCUAGUAAGCGCGAGUCAUCAGCUCGUGCUGAUUACGUCCCUGCCCUUUGUACACACCGCCCGUCGCUCCUACCGAUUGAAUGGUCCGGUGAAGCGUUCGGACCGUGGCCUUUGGACGGUUCGCCGUCUGUUGGCUGCGGGAAGUUCGUUAAACCUUAUCAUUUAGAGGAAGGAGAAGUCGUAACA